AAUCCUGUAGUGCAAUACAUAGCGCGUUGGACUUCUAAUGCAAAGUUCGUGGUUUCGAUCCCACCAGGGGUG